GUGGGGAAUAUUGGACAAUGGGCGAAAGCCUGAUCCAGCCAUGCCGCGUGUGUGAAGAAGGUCUUCGGAUUGUAAAGCACUUUAAGUUGGGAGGAAGGGCAGUAAGUUAAUACCUUGCUGUUUUGACGUUACCGACAGAAUAAGCACCGGCUAACUUCGUGCCAGCAGUCGCGGUAAUACGAAGGGUGCAAGCGUUAAUCGGAAUUACUGGGCGUAAAGCGCGCGUAGGUGGUUUUGUAAGUUGGAGGUGAAAUCCCCGGGCUCAACCUGGGAACUGCCUCCAAAACUGCAUGACUAGAGUACGGUAGAGGGUAGUGGAAUUUCCUGUGUAGCGGUGAAAUGCGUAGAUAUAGGAAGGAACACCAGUGGCGAAGGCGACUACCUGGACUGAUACUGACACUGAGGUGCGAAAGCGUGGGGAGCAAACAGGAUUAGAAACCCCUGUAGUCC
rnacentral:rRNA from 1 species